GAUGAACGCUGGCGGCGUGCCUAAUACAUGCAAGUAGAACGCUGAAGGAGGAGCUUGCUCUUCUGGAUGAGUUGCGAACGGGUGAGUAACGCGUAGGUAACCUGCCUGGUAGCGGGGGAUAACUAUUGGAAACGAUAGCUAAUACCGCAUGACAACAGUUAUUGCAUGAUAACUGUUUAAAAGGGGCAACUGCUCCACUACCAGAUGGACCUGCGUUGUAUUAGCUAGUUGGUGAGGUAACGGCUCACCAAGGCGACGAUACAUAGCCGACCUGAGAGGGUGAUCGGCCACACUGGGACUGAGGCACGGCCCAGACUCCUACGGGAGGCAGCAGUAGGGAAUCUUCGGCAAUGGACGGAAGUCUGACCGAGCAACGCCGCGUGAGUGAAGAAGGUUUUCGGAUCGUAAAGCUCUGUUGUAAGAGAAGAACGAGUGUGAGGGUGGAAAGUUCACACUGUGACGGUAUCUUACCAGAAAGGGACGGCUAACUACGUG
rnacentral:rRNA from 1 species